UACAGAGGGGGCCAGCGUUAUUCGGAAUUAUUGGGCGUAAAGGGCGCGUAGGCGGCCAUGCGUGUCUUCCGUGAAAUCCCUCGGCUUAACCGGGGAACUGCGUCUGAUACUGGAUGGCUUGAGGUUGGGAGAGGGAUGCGGAAUUCCAGGUGUAGCGGUGAAAUGCGUAGAUAUCUGGAGGAACACCGGUGGCGAAGGCGGCUUCCUGGACACUUACUGACGCUGAGACGCGAAAGCGUGGGGAGCAAACAGG
rnacentral:rRNA from 1 species